rnacentral:rRNA from 1 species
GACGAACGCUGGCGGCGUGCUUAACACAUGCAAGUCGAACGGAAAGGCCCUGCUUUUGUGGGGUGCUCGAGUGGCGAACGGGUGAGUAACACGUGAGUAACCUGCCCUUGACUUUGGGAUAACUUCAGGAAACUGGGGCUCAUACCGGAUAGGAGCUCCUGCUGCAUGGUGGGGGUUGGAAAGUUUCGGCGGUUGGGGAUGGACUCGCGGCUUAUCAGCUUGUUGGUGGGGUAGUGGCUUACCAAGGCUUUGACGGGUAGCCGGCCUGAGAGGGUGACCGGCCACAUUGGGACUGAGAUACGGCCCAGAAUCCUACGGGAGGCAGCAGUGGGGAAUAUUGCACAAUGGGCGGAAGCCUGAUGCAGCAACGCCGCGUGCGGGAUGACGGCCUUCGGGUUGUAAACCGCUUUCGCCUGUGACGAAGCGUGAGUGACGGUAAUGGGUAAAGAAGCACCGGCUAACUACGUG